AACGCUGGCGGCGUGCCUAAUACAUGCAAGUCGAGCGAACAGAAGGGAGCUUGCUCCCGGAUGUUAGCGGCGGACGGGUGAGUAACACGUGGGUAACCUGCCUGUAAGACUGGGAUAACUCCGGGAAACCGGAGCUAAUACCGGAUAGUUCCUUGAACCGCAUGGUUCAAGGAUGAAAGACGGUUUCGGCUGUCACUUACAGAUGGACCCGCGGCGCAUUAGCUAGUUGGUGGGGUAAUGGCUCACCAAGGCGACGAUGCGUAGCCGACCUGAGAGGGUGAUCGGCCACACUGGGACUGAGACACGGCCCAGACUCCUACGGGAGGCAGCAGUAGGGAAUCUUCCGCAAUGGACGAAAGUCUGACGGAGCAACGCCGCGUGAGUGAUGAAGGUUUUCGGAUCGUAAAGCUCUGUUGUUAGGGAAGAACAAGUGCGAGAGUAACUGCUCGCACCUUGACGGUACCUAACCAGAAAGCC
rnacentral:rRNA from 1 species